rnacentral:rRNA from 1 species
AAAGGAAUAGACGGGGACCCGCACAAGCGGUGGAACAUGUGGUUUAAUUCGAGGCAACGCGAAGAACCUUACCAAGACUUGACAUGCCCUCUAUGGAGAACAGAAAUGAUCUCCUUCACCUCGGGUGGGAGGAGCACAGGUGCUGCAUGGCUGUCGUCAGCUCGUGUCGUGAGAUGUUGGGUUAAGUCCCGCAACGAGCGCAACCCUCAUCCUCUGUUGCUAACAGGUAAUGCUGAGAACUCUGAGGAAACUGCCGGUGAUAAGCCGGAGGAAGGUGGGGAUGACGUCAAGUCCUCAUGGCCCUUACGUCUUGGGCUACACACGUGUUACAAUGGCGGUGACAAUGGGCUGCAAACCCGCAAGGGUAAGCGAAUCUCAAAAAGCCGCCUCAGUUUGGAUUGUACUCUGCAACUCGAGUACAUGAAAUUGGAAUCGCUAGUAAUCGCGGAUCAGCACGCCGCGGUGAAUACGUUCCCGGGUCUUGUACACACCGCCCGU